rnacentral:sRNA from 1 species
GCCAGGCGUGGUAGUGCACGCCUGUAAUCCCAGUGGUUUGGGAGGCUGAGACUGGGGGAUCGCAGGUUCAAAGCCAGCCUCAGCAAAGGUGAGGCACUAAGCAACUCAGUGGACCCUGUCUCUA